rnacentral:rRNA from 1 species
UACGUAGGGUGCGAGCGUUGUCCGGAAUUAUUGGGCGUAAAGAGCUCGUAGGCGGUUUGGUAAGUCGGGUGUGAAAUCUCCACGCUCAACGUGGAGGGGCCACUCGAUACUGCCAUGACUCGAGUCCGGAAGAGGCAAGUGGAAUUCCCGGUGUAGCGGUGAAAUGCGCAGAUAUCAGGAGGAACACCGGUGGCGAAGGCGGUUCUCUGGGCCGAGUACUGACGCUGGAGGAGCGAAAGCCGUGGGGAGCGAACAGG